rnacentral:tRNA from 3 species
GGAAGGUUGUCCGAGUUGGCCGAAGGAGCACGCCUGGAAAGUGUGUAGGCGUCACAAGCGUCUCAAGGGUUCGAAUCCCUUACCUUCCG